rnacentral:ncRNA from 1 species
CCGUCACAACGGCUUCCUGACGUGGCGGGGUUUGCCAAUGGAGCA